GUGAGUCAUCGAAUCUUUGAACGCACAUUGCGCCCGCCAGUAUUCUGGCGGGCAUGCCUGUUCGAGCGUCAUUUCAACCCUCAAGCCCCCGGGCUUGGUGUUGGAGAUCGGCGUGCCCCCCGGGGCGCGCCGGCUCCCAAAUAUAGUGGCGGUCUCGCUGUAGCUUCCUCUGCGUAGUAGCACACCUCGCACUGGAAAACAGCGUGGCCACGCCGUUAAACCCCCCACUUCUGAAAGGUUGACCUCGGAUCAGGUAGGAAUACCCGCUGAACUUAAGCAUAUCAAUAAGCGGAGGA
rnacentral:misc_RNA from 1 species